rnacentral:rRNA from 1 species
GCAUCUAGAUUAGACUUUGAUCCUGGCUCAGGAUGAACGCUAGCGGCAGGCUUAAUACAUGCAAGUCGUGGGGCAGCAGCUCUGUAGCAAUACAGAGGCUGGCGACCGGCAAACGGGUGCGGAACACGUACACAACCUUCCUUCGAGUGGGGAAUAGCCCAGGGAAACUUGGAUUAAUACCCCGUAAUAAAUAGGAGUGGCAUCACUUUUAUUUUAAAGCUCCGGCGCUUGAAGAUGGGUGUGCGGCUGAUUAGGUAGUUGGCGGGGUAACGGCCCACCAAGCCUACGAUCAGUAGCUGAUGUGAGAGCAUGAUCAGCCACACGGGCACUGAGACACGGGCCCGACUCCUACGGGAGGCAGCAGUAAGGAAUAUUGGUCAAUGGACGAAAGUCUGAACCAGCCAUGCCGCGUGGAGGAUGAAGGUCCUCUGGAUUGUAAACUUCUUUUCUCUGGGGCGAAAAAAGCCUAUUCUUGGGCACUUGACAGUACCAGAGGAAUAAGCACCGGCUAACUCCGUGCCAGCAGCCGCGGUAAUACGGAGGGUGCAAGCGUUAUCCGGAUUCACUGGGUUUAAAGGGUGCGUAGGUGGGCAGGUAAGUCAGUGGUGAAAUCCCCGGGCUUAACUUGGGAACUGCCGUUGAUGCUAUCUGUCUUGAAUACCGUGGAGGUGGGCGGAAUAUGUCAUGUAGCGGUGAAAUGCUUAGAUAUGACAUAGAACACCUAUGUGAAGGCAGCUCACUACACGGUAAUUGACACUGAGGCACGAAAGCGUGGGGAGCAAACAGGAUUAGAUACCCUGGUAGUCCACGCCCUAAACGAUGAUCACUCGACAUCAGCGAUACACUGUUGGUGUCUGAGCAAAAGCAUUAAGUGAUCCACCUGGGAAGUACGAUCGCAAGAUUGAAACUCAAAGGAAUUGGGCGGGGGUCCGCACAAGCGGUGGGGCAUGUGGUUUAAUUCGAUGAUACGCGAGGAACCUUACCAGGGCUAGAAUGUGGCAUGACAGACAGUGAAACUGUCCCCUACAUAGGCGUGUCAUUGCUGCAUGGCGCAGCUCCGGGAUCCGCAACGCCAUCACUACUCGAGCGAUCUCAGAGUAAUCCCUGG